rnacentral:rRNA from 1 species
AACGAACGCUGGCGGCGCGCCUAAUACAUGCAAGUCGAGCGAGAAGACGUAGCAAUACGUUUGUAAAGCGGCGAACGGGUGAGGAAUACAUGGGUAACCUACCCUCGAGUGGGGAAUAACUAGCCGAAAGGUUAGCUAAUACCGCGUACGCUCCUUGGACUUCGGUUCAGGGAGGAAAGCGAUACCGUGGGUAUCGCGCUCUUGGAUGGGCUCAUGUCCUAUCAGCUUGUUGGNGAGGUAACGGCUCACCAAGGCUUCGACGGGUAGCUGGUCUGAGAGGACGAUCAGCCACACUGGCACUGCGACACGGGCCAGACUCCUACGGGAGGCAGCAGUAAGGAAUAUUGCGCAAUGGGGCAAAGCCUGACGCAGCGACGCCGCGUGGGGGA